CCGCCCGUCUGUCAACGCCGGGACAAGGACAGAGCGGCCUCGCCGCAUAUGCAAUUAGCAUCACUUCACAGAGGUUCCAGCUCAUCCAGACGACUUUUGCUUGUAAUUUGUCCGUCCACAAAAUAAGAAAGUCGACAGGGAAGCACCGCAGAAUGCAGGAUGGCAUCCAUCCAUGAAAGAGUCAAAUGAAAACAUAUUUAUUUUUAAUCAAAAUAGUCUUUCAUUUAUUCAUUGCAUCAGAAAUGAUUGUUAUGUACAUAUUUAAUUUUCAAACGACGCAUACAUAUGGCGAGCUUGUGGUUGAAGAGCUUUAAAGUCUUGGAAUGUGCACAUCAUUGUCUUUGGUACAUGAUUUAAAACCGCCACCAUCACCACAAAUAAAACAGAAUAUUAAUUCACAAAUGCAUGUGACUCUUUGGAGCUUCUGAAAUCAAACAAAAACCUUUUGAAGGGCAUUAAAGUAAUUAGGACCACUUGUAUUUCUUCAUCAAAGAUCUCAUCAUAUAUAUAUAUGAUUAAAAACAAACCAGUAUUAAGGUAGCUUAUCAAAUGCAUAGCAUUUUAUUUUUUUGACCAAAAACGCAUUUUUGGUCUCAUAAAAAAAAAAAAAACUAUGUACAGUCUAUGCAAUAGUUAAACAAGCCUCACAUCAAAACUUGACGUACUUUGGAUGUUAAAUCUCGCACAUAUAAAACAAGCAAAGAUUCAUUUGAAUUUGACACAACUUUUAAAUCUAUGUUUCAGCCCUUAAAAAAAACAUAGAAAAUGCUCUAAAAUUUAUCCAGACAUAACAUUAAGGUGAACAAAUCCAGAAAAUUGAUGCUUUUAGUCAAAAGUAAAUAAAAAAAUGUAGUUUUACAAGUGAGUCUGAGCAACAAAUGUGUUUUUGCUCUUCCAGUCUGAACCCAAAUUCCACAUAAAAUUCCAACAAAAUUCCCCAAAAAUGGUCUCAAAAGGGAGUUCCCCUCAAAAG